rnacentral:sRNA from 1 species
GAAAUGGAGCCACCUCCUUGGAGCCUGCAGGAGGGCGCAGUCCUGAGAGAAGGGGGCUGUGGCUGGGUGAGCAUGUGGACACCCCAGGAUGCUGUCACUUCUGUGCCUCCUGAGUCAGGCUUCUGCCCCUCCUCUAGUUGUGGAUGGAGGGUUGCAUGGAAUCGUCACUGCUCUCCACUGAGCUCCCUGUGUGACACAGAGCUCAGUCUGACAAGAGAGCAUCGACCUUGAAGAAUAGACUACAAUUAAUUCCUUAAACCAGCUGACACACCAUCCACCGUCGGGCUAUGGGACUGCUGAUGAGAAGUGAUCUGUGGUGUGGACAUAAUUCUGAACAGCCUGUGGGGCAGUGGAGGUCAGCCCAGGCAUCAGGUGAAGAAGGCAGGAGAAAAGAGGUAUGGUGUGAGUCCCGAGAACAUUAUCCUCUAUGGUCAGAGCAUUGGGACUGUCCCCACGGUAGACUUGGCCUCGAGGUAUGAAUGCGCAGCGGUAAUUCUCCAUUCCCCUCUGAUGUCUGGUUUGCGUGUGGCUUUUCCGGAUACCAGGAAAACAUACUGCUUUGAUGCUUUCCCCAGCAUUGACAAGAUAUCUAAAGUCACCUCUCCUGUGUUGGUCAUUCACG